UAACUGAUCAAGGAAGCAGUAUAAAUUGAGCAUAUCCCAUAUGCAUGUCGUUGUUUAUUGGUAUAAUUGUUGGUAUAUAUCACUCAGUAUAAUUAAGACACAUUAAAAACAUUUUUUUCUCUUUCUUUUCUUGGACUUGGAGCAAAUAUCCAGUAUGCCAAAUUAUAUUGAGACCGGGAUGUCUGAUAUAAUUGUAAGAAGUGGAGAGGUAGACCAGUUCUGAGAUUCAUAAUCCAGACUCUGCACUGGAUGAGGACUGAUGCUUCUUGUGUGACCUCCCAAGUAUUUAUUUAUGUAACACCUAUUGAAUGAAGAUGUGUGAAGAUGGAUAUUUGAAAGUAGUGCAUUUCACUCAUUCAUGUGGAGUCUUCAAGCCGAAUGAAGAAGGAGGAUAUUUUUCACCUGGAUUAAAGUUAUUUAACUAUUCAAUAACAGUUUUAAGCUGUCUUGUGACCA
ensembl:lincRNA